rnacentral:rRNA from 1 species
UACGAAGGGGACUAGCGUUGUUCGGAAUUACUGGGCGUAAAGCGCACGUAGGCGGAUUUGUUAGUCAGGGGUGAAAUCCCGGGGCUCAACCUCGGAACUGCCUUUGAUACUGCAAGUCUCGAGUCCGAUAGAGGUGGGUGGAAUUCCUAGUGUAGCAGUGAAAUGCGUAGAGAUGUGGAGGAACACCGAUGGCGAAGGCAGCCCCCUGGGCUGAGAUUGACGCUCAGGCACGAAAGCGUGGGGAGCAAACAGG